UACGUAGGGUGCAAGCGUUAAUCGGAAUUACUGGGCGUAAAGCGCGCGUAGGCGGCUUUGUAAGUCGGUUGUGAAAUCCCCGGGCUUAACCUGGGAACUGCAUCCGAGACUGCAUGGCUAGAGUAUGGGAGAGGGAAGUGGAAUUUCAGGUGUAGCGGUGAAAUUCGUAGAUAUCAGGAGGAACACCGGUGGCGAAGGCGGGUCUCUGGGCAGUAACUGACGCUGAGGAGCGAAAGCGUGGGGAGCGAACAGG
rnacentral:rRNA from 1 species